UUGAGCCGGAUGAGAGGAAACUUUCAUGUCCGAUCCUGAGGGGGGGAAAUCUUUGAAAAACCUAUCCGAAU
rfam:Picea glauca, whole genome shotgun sequence.